rnacentral:tRNA from 1 species
UGGCUCAAUGGUAGAGUGUUUGCCUUGCAUGCAUGAGGCCCGGGGUUCGAUUCCUCA